AACGAACGCUGGCGGCAUGCCUAACACAUGCAAGUCGAACGAAGGCUUCGGCCUUAGUGGCGCACGGGUGCGUAACGCGUGGGAACCUGCCCCUCGGUUCGGAAUAACAGUUAGAAAUGACUGCUAAUACCGGAUGAUGACUUCGGUCCAAAGAUUUAUCGCCGAGGGAUGGCCCGCGUAGGAUUAGCUAGUUGGUGGGGUAAAGGCCUACCAAGGCGACGAUCCUUAGCUGGUCUGAGAGGAUGAUCAGCCACACUGGGACUGAGACACGGCCCAGACUCCUACGGGAGGCAGCAGUGGGGAAUAUUGGACAAUGGGCGGAAAGACCUGAUCCA
rnacentral:rRNA from 1 species